rnacentral:rRNA from 1 species
UACAGAGGUCCCAAGCGUUGUUCGGAUUCACUGGGCGUAAAGGGUGCGUAGGUGGUCGGGUAAGUCUGAUGUGAAAUCUCCGAGCUUAACUCGGAAAUGGCAUUGAAUACUAUUCGGCUAGAGGGUUUGAGGGGGGACUGGAAUACUUGGUGUAGCAGUGAAAUGCGUAGAUAUCAAGUGGAACACCAGUGGCGAAGGCGAGUCCCUGGACGACAACUGACGCUGAGACGCGAAAGCGUGGGUAGCAAACAGG